UUGAACGCUGGCGGCAUGCCUAACACAUGCAAGUCGAACGGCAGCAUGGUAAGAGCUUGCUCUUACUGAUGGCGAGUGGCGGACGGGUGAGUAAUAUGUAGGAAUCUACCUAGAGGUGCGGGAUAACUUAGGGAAACUUAAGCUAAUACCACAUAAGCCCUACGGGGGAAAGCAGGGGAUCUUCGGACCUUGCGCCUUAUGAUGAGCCUACAUCGGAUUAGCUUGUUGGUGGGGUAAAGGCCUACCAAGGCGACGAUCCGUAGCUGGUCUGAGAGGAUGAUCAGCCACACUGGGACUGAGACACGGCCCAGACUCCUACGGGAGGCAGCAGUGGGGAAUAUUGGACAAUGGGCGAAAGCCUGAUCCAGCAAUGCCGCGUGUGUGAAGAAGGCCUUAGGGUUGUAAAGCACUUUCAGUGGGGAGGAAGUUGAGUUUGCUAAUAUCAGAUUCAAUUGACGUUACCCACAGAAGAAGCACCGGCUAACUCUGUG
rnacentral:rRNA from 1 species